AACGAACGCUGGCGGCGCGCCUAAUACAUGCAAGUCGAGCGAGAAGACGUAGCAAUACGUUUGUAAAGCGGCGAACGGGUGAGGAAUACAUGGGUAACCUACCCUCGAGUGGGGAAUAACUAGCCGAAAGGUUAGCUAAUACCGCGUACGCUCCUUGGACUUCGGUUCAGGGAGGAAAGCGAUGCCGAGGGUAUCGCGCUCUUGGAUGGGCUCAUGUCCUAUCAGCUUGUUGGGAGGUAACGGCUCACCAAGGCUUCGACGGGUAGCUGGUCUGAGAGGACGAUCAGCCACACUGGCACUGCGACACGGGCCAGACUCCUACGGGAGGCAGCAGUAAGGAAUAUUGCGCAAUGGGCGAAAGCCUGACG
rnacentral:rRNA from 1 species